CCGGGAGCCGGGGCCGCCCCUCCUUCGCCGGGAAAGGGAAAGCGAAAGCUCCGGGCGCUGUCACACGGAGCGGGGCCGCGGCCGGACCGGGCUGGGGGCGCCGGGGGAGCCCCUGAUACACGGUUUAUAGUCAGAAGAGACACGGGAUGAAGGCAAGGCUGGGAAAUCUCCUCUCUUGGAAGUGGGAAUGUGGUUCUCCUGGAGCAGCAGUUGAUGCUCUGCACACGCAGCAUCUCCAGUCAUGGUGGGCAGUGGCCAUGGGAGAGCUCUCACUUGCAUGUCUGAGGUGACAAAGGGACACCACAGGGAAAAGUGGAAUAAAGAUGUUUGAGUUAGUCCUGAAUCCAAGUAUCAUGGCUGAUGAGCUAAAAAAAA